rnacentral:tRNA from 1 species
AGCAGCUUGGCGCAGUGGAAGCGCGGUAUGUUCAACAAGCUCCAUCGAAAUCUACAAAGCUAACUCAUCCCAGCCGGGCUCAUAACCCGGAGGUCACUGGAUCGAAACCAGUAGCUGCUA